AGUGAACGCUGGCGGUAGGCCUAACACAUGCAAGUCGAACGGCAGCACAGUAAGAGCUUGCUCUUACGGGUGGCGAGUGGCGGACGGGCGAGGAAUACAUCGGAAUCUACUUUUUCGUGGGGGAUAACGUAGGGAAACUUACGCUAAUACCGCAUACGACCUACGGGUGAAAGCAGGGGAUCUUCGGACCUUGCGCGAUUGAAUGAGCCGAUGUCGGAUUAGCUAGUUGGCGGGGUAAAGGCCCACCAAGGCGACGAUCCGUAGCUGGUCUGAGAGGAUGAUCAGCCACACUGGAACUGAGACACGGUCCAGACUCCUACGGGAGGCAGCAGUGGGGAAUAUUGGACAAUGGGCGCAAGCCUGAUCCAGCUAUACCGCGUGGGUGAAGAAGGCCUUCGGGUUGUAAAGCCCUUUUGUUGGGAAAGAAAAGCAGCAGGUUAAUACCCCGCUGUUCUGACGGUACCCAAAGAAUAAGCACCGGCUAACUUCGUG
rnacentral:rRNA from 1 species